rnacentral:lncRNA from 1 species
CACACACAUACAGUAAAUCCAAACCUUCUCAAACCCCAGACACCAAACAUCACUACUCAGACAUCCUUUAACUGCCUGAGACCCCUGACUUGUUCCCUGUGGGCCAGAACCCACUACUGUUUGACUUGUUCCCUGUGGGCAAGAACCCACUACUGUUUGACUUGUUCCCUGUGGGCCAGAACCCACUACUGUUUGACUUGUUCCCUGUGGGCCAGAACCCACUACUGUUUGACUUGUUCCCUGUGGGCCAGAACCCACUACUGUUUGUGUAUCUACAGUGGAUUAUGAUGCUUUAUUCAUGGCAGUGCCAUCCUUUGCAUGUGUGUGGACCACACAGUGAACAAGUGACACCUUGGGCUGUGACAGGCUGCCAUCUGCACACCGUCUCUGUCCUCUUCCCUCUGUUCCCUCUCUACAUGUCUCUACCUCUAAUCCUCUUCCCUCUCUACAUGUCUCUACGUCUGUCCUCUUCCCUCUGGUUCCCUCUCUACAGUCUCCUACCCUAGCCUCUUCCAUCCUCUUCCCUCUGUUCCCUCUCUACAUGUCUCUAACCCCCUCAUCCUCUUCCUCCCUCUGUGUCCUCCCUCUCGACAUGUCUCUACCUCUAUCCUCUUCCCUCUGUCCCCUCUCUCUACAUGUCUCUACCCUCGUCCUCUUCCCUCUGCUCCCUCUCUACAUGUUCUACCACCUCUGUCCU